UAGCGGAUAACACCAAUGGGAGCACUAAAUGAGGUAUCAUACAGGAGGAAUAAGGUUGUCAUUUCAGAAGGGGAAAGAGAGGGAGCUGAGAGGGAUAGCAUUCUUCUGUUGUUCUAAUCAUUUUGCAGCCCUUUACUCUGUUCGAUUAUGUACUGUCAGUUUAUAGUGUUUCCGUGGACAUUUUACUUUGUUUAACCAUUAUUUUGAUUUUCCUUUUCCUAUAUUUUUUCGAUUAUUAUGUCAUCUGUCCAUAUUGCUAAAUGUCCUGGUAUCCUUGUUCCAUUGAAAUACUCUUUUUUCUUGAUCAGUUACUGUGGAUCCCGGAUUGAAGAUUGCACAGAGAUCUGAAGAUGGAACUGUGUGCUUUCAAGGGCCUAAGGAAAUAAUUAAGGAAUUAUUCUCAAAGGUGGAGCUUUCAGUUUCUUCCUAUGACAAUGCUUGGGUCGCAAUGGUCCCCUCGCCUAGUUCCCCUCAGUACCCUUAUUGGAGAAUCAGCUCCCUGAUGGUUCAUGGGGUCUUCCACAUUCUGAGUCCAUGCUUAUUAAUGAUGCCUUGUCCUCCACAUUGGCAUGUGCAUGCGCUUGUACUCUUUUUUUUUUAACGUUGGAAUGUUGGUGAAGAACAUGUUGAAAGGGGAAUUUAACUUUGCAUCGGCAACUAAUGAGAGCCAACAUUCUCCAAUUGGCUUUAAUAUCAUAUUUCCUGGGAUGACUGAUAAUGCUGGAGACAUUGGUUUAAAUAUUCCUCUUAGCCCAUCAAUUCUUGAUUCUUUACAUUGCAAGAGACAUUUGGAGCUCAAAAGGUGAAUACUUUUAAUCUUCCCUCACUUCUAUUCAAUGUUGGGCCUUUGUGGUUCUUGCAAGAAAUUACCUUUGAAAAUUAAAAUUUUCCAAAUCUUGUGGAGCAUAAUAUAAUGCUUAGGCUCUGAAAUUUAGGAGUUCAGACUUUCAGUUUACUCAAUUGACUUUCAUAAUUUUUCAAAGAAAGAGGGU